rnacentral:lncRNA from 1 species
GCCCCCGCCCCCGGAGCGCGGCGGUCCCAAGAGGGGCGCGGCCCAGCAGGCUAGGGCGCGGCGCGCGGGCGGGGACCCCGGGCGCCCCGCCCUCCGCGCCCCCAGCCCCGCGCUCCCCGCCCUGGGCUUCCCCGGGGCCCCCGCCGGACUGGAAACCGGGGUCCAGCCGGGGCGCCCCCGCCCCCUCCGGGAGUGGGAUUUAAAGGCACAGGAACUGCGUCAUGGGAAGGCGCGCAGCACUCAGGGCGCCCUCGGCCCCCUCCCGGGAGCUGGGCGGUGAGGCCUGCAGAGCAGGACCUGCCAGCUGAGCGCCCCUACCCUCGCCCCUGCCCGCCCCCGCGCCUCGCCCCUCCCGCCGGGCUCGGAUCUGCCCCGCCUGCCCCUGACUCGACUGAGGCCCUUUGCAAACCACAGAAGUUCUCUAAAUGUCUGCGGUGGCAUCAUUGGACCAGCUACGUCUUGGACUUUAUUGGAAGCUGCCAAAUUGCUUUCCAAACACCUGGAGCAACUGACCUCUCACCCUUCAGUGUGCCUGGGUUUGUGGUUCUCUAUUUCCUGGCCAGCACUGGUGUCCUCAAACUUCUGAUUUUCUUUCCAUUUAUUUUACUUUGUUCAUCUAAAUGGGUAUGAAAUAAUAUCUCUGGGCUGUUUCAUGUCCAUGGAAAUUUCUCUGUUGUAAAUGUGUGGGCCAAAGGAACUGCACCUUGUCCUCAAGAGAUUCGGGUCGAAACCUUGGCUCCGGGGCCCACCAGCAGUAUGGCUUUGGGCAGUCACCUAAUGUCCCUGAGCUCAGUUUUCUCAUCUGUAAAAUGGAGAUGGCAGAGUUCCCAUAGGGUUACCGUGGGAAUUCAAAAGCUAGGCGCCCAGCACUCAGUAAGCGCUCGGGAAGUGGGAAGUAAUGUUAUUGGAAGCCAGCCCCCCAGGGAGGGUCAUGGAUUCCUGCAUGGAGACACCCAGCCCUCUGCCUGUUGAAAUAAACAUUGCCACCACUCGUAUGUUCUACUUUUCAUUUCUUCCAUUUUAUUUCCAACCAUUUUGCUGCUGAAUCAGCAGCCCUCCUUCACACAAGCAGUGGAUUGCAACUGAGAUCCUAUUGAAACACGGUGGUUGCUUCCAAGCAGUUACUGGUCAGCACCUUCCACCUUUG